rnacentral:rRNA from 1 species
GUAGUCUGCAACUCGACUACAUGAAGCUGGAAUCGCUAGUAAUCGCAAAUCAGAAUGUUGCGGUGAAUACGUUCCCGGGUCUUGUACACACCGCCCGUCACACCAUGGGAGUCGGAAAUGCCCGAAGUCUGUGACCCAACGAAAGAGGGAGCAGCCGAAGGCAGGUCUGAUAACUGGGGUGAAGUCGUAACAAGGUACC